UACUGCUGUAUGCUCACGUGGAGGACGGCGUGGUCGAGCACCACGUGGAAUGCGUGGAUCCCACAGUACACGACCAGCUUCACCAGCCUGUGCGCAGUCACCGAGUCCAUCCCCAGCACGCUCUGUUCAACCAGUUCGUCGUCGUGGCACGGGUGGCGCCAAGCGCAUUUGCUUGGGACGUCCUAAUGGAGUGAAUCCGAGCCUGCCGGCUUCCGCACUUGCCCAAACAGCUCCUGCGCCACGAAGUGCAACCCCAUGGCUGGAUGCGCUGGGAGGACACAGUUCUGAUAUGGCAUUUAUGCGGGAGCGUGGACGUGAUGUCGCUGUCGGUCCUGUUCAGCAGCCAGCGCCUCAACUGUUGGGUGGCUUUGUCGCACCGAAUGGAUGCGUUGUGCA